rnacentral:rRNA from 1 species
UACGUAGGGGGCAAGCGUUGUCCGGAUUUAUUGGGCGUAAAGAGCGUGUAGGCGGCCAUGCAGGUCCGUUGUGAAAGCUCGAGGCUCAACCUCGAGACGCCGAUGGAAACCGCAUGGCUAGAGUCCGGAAGAGGAGAGUGGAAUUCCUGGUGUAGCGGUGAAAUGCGCAGAUAUCAGGAAGAACACCCGUGGCUAAGGCGGCUCUCUAGUACGGUACUGACGCUGAGACGCGAAAGCGUGGGGAGCGAACAGG